AAUUAAAUUAUAUUAAUUAAUAAUUAUUAAUAUUAAAUAAUUUUUUUUUAAAAAAAGUAACAAACCCUAUCUCUUUGACUCUUUCUUCUACAGAUUUUUUCUCACUCCUCAAUCCUCACUCCUCAUCCUCUCCUCUUCAACUCUUCUUCCUCUUCUUUUCUCCUCUUUCUCUUCUACUCCAGGCUCCAACCGGCAGCCACUCUUCAGCAGCGCCGCCGUUCACCAGAGAAGCAGCAGUGCCGCCGUCCACCAGGAGGCAGUAGCGCCGCCAGCCGCCAUCCACCAGCAGCAGCCGCCAGCCGCGACAGCAGGACAGCAGCAGCCAGCCGCCAGCCGCGACAACAGUCAGCAGGUGCAGGUAUGUUUUCAGUUUUUUUAUUUUUUUCUUGACUUUUUUCAUUUUUUUCUUUCUGAUUUUUUUGUUACUGGUUAUUGGGAAUUUAUUGUGAUUUUAUAUAUAUAUAUAUAGGUGGCUGAACAAACAGAAUAAAUAUGGGUGUAGCUGAUCAAAGUCGAAUAAGUAUGGCUGAUUCUAUUGAUAAUACACCUAGUAAUAGCAUGAUUUGUCGAUUGGCACAGAAAUAACAAAAAAAAAGAAAUGGAUCCUAGAUCUCUUGUUUGGCAACACUAUGAAAAGGUUUUUGAAAAUGGUGUAUUAGUUAAAGCAAAGUGCUUACAUUGUAAACAAUAUUAUGCUCCCAAUACAACAAGAAAUGGAACAAGUCGACUAAAAUAACAUUUGACUUAUCGGUGUAAAGUGUAUAAACCUCCGACUGUCGCACCCCGGUAUUCAAAAAUUAUUAAAUAUUCAAAAUAACAAUUUAGAGACUUGGAAAUUUGAGCAAGAGGUAUGUAGGAGAGCUUUAGUUGAGAUGAUUAUUUUGGAUGAACUACCUUUUAGUUUUGUUGAAAAAGAAGGCUUUAAGAAGUUUAUGAGUAAAGUCCAGCCUUUGUUUCAUAUUCCUUCUCGUAGAACCAUAACAAGGGAUUGUUAUGAAGUUUAUGGUGAAUUGAGAAUAACUUUGAAACAAUCUUUAAGAGAAAUACAACCAAGAAUUUGUCUCACAACAGACACAUGGACUUCAGUGCAAAGAAUCAAUUAUAUGUGUUUGACUGCUCACUUUAUUGAUAGGGAUUGGGUGCUUCAUAAAAGAAUAUUGAAUUUUUGUCCUAUCACUAGUCAUAAAGGUGAGCAUUUGGCUUGAGUCUAUUAGUAAUUGUUUACUUGAUUGGAAGUUGGAUAACGUCUUUACUGUUACGGUUGAUAAUGCCUCUUCAAAUGAUGUGGCAGUUUUAGAGUUGUCCAAAAAAUUAGAUAUGUGGGGAACUAAUUUGAUGGAAGGUAAUCAUCUCCAUGUGAGAUGUAUGGCUCACAUACUUAAUCUAAUUAUGCAAGAUGGUUUGAAAGAAAUUGGUCCUUCUAUCAAAAAGGUGAGACAUAUGGUGAAAUAUGUUAGAUCAUCUUUUUCAAGGACAAGAAAUUUCUUGAAAUGUGUUGAAAUGCAAAAGAUAGAAUGUGAUAAGAUGUUGUCUUUAGAUGUGCCUAUUAGGUGGAAUUCCACCUAUUUGAUGUUAGACACAGCAGAAAAGUUUGAGAAGGCUUUUGAGAGGUUUUAUCUUUAUGAUGGUAAUUUUAAUUCUUUUCUUGCUACUGAUGUUUGUGAAGAUGGAAGUAUCGCAGGGUCAAUUCAAUAUGAAGAUUGGGCUAAUGUGAGGAAUGUCACAAAGUUUCUUGAAAAAUUUUAUGAACUCACUUUGAAAGUUUCAGGUUCACGGUAUGUUACUUGUAAUGUUCAUUUUGAAGAUAUAUGUAAACUUGAUGCUUAUUUGAAAUUAUGUAUAGCAAGUGAUGACCUUGAUUUGAGUAAAAUGGCUUCGGAAAUGAAAGAAAAAUUCAAGAAACAUUGGGGGACUCCUGAAAAAAUGAACAAAAUGAUUUUUAUUGCUUCUGUUUUGAAUCCUCGCAAUAAAUUUGUCUAUGUUAGUUUUGCUCUUGAAGAAUAACUUGGGGAAGAAACAGAAAACGUAGUGAAUACGAAAGUAGAGGCUUACUUGAGGGAUUUGUUUGCGAUAUAUAUAAGUAUGAAAAAGGUUCCAAAAGUCAACCAUCUUCAUCUGACUCAUCUAAUUCUUCUACUAGUGGUAUUUCUCAAAAUAUGUCCAAAAAUUCUUUGAGAACUAAGUUGCACAUGAAGAAACAAAAGAAUGAUUCUGGAAGUUUAGGUGUUAAAUCUGAGUUGGAUAAAUAUCUUCUUAAAGACCAAGAACCUGAAUCUGAAGAUUUUGAUAUUUUGAGUUGGUGGAAAGUUAAUUCUCCUAGAUUUCCAGUACUUUCACAGUUGGCUCGAGAUGUAUUGACUAUUCCUAUGUCGAGUGUGGCAUCGGAAUGUGCAUUUAGCACCGGUGGUCGAAUUCUAGAUUCCUUUAGAAGUUUAUUGACUCCCAAAUGUGUGCAAUGUCUUAUUUGUGUCAAAGAUUGGCUUUGACAAGAAACCAAGCCUAUUUGUGUUGAAGAAAGUUUGGAGUUUCUUGAAAAAAGUGAACUUGAAAUGGCAAAUAGUGGAAGAAACUCUUCCAUUGUUGAUCUAUGAUUGACUUGCAAGCGGUCUAAGGGUCAAGACAAUGAAGAAAUAAUUUUGUUGGCACGUGACACUUGAAAGUUGAAAGUGAUCUCAUGGAAGAAAGUCAAGAAACUCAAUAUUGUUGUUUGUUAUUGUUUAAAGUAAUCUCAUGGAAAAAGACAAGAAGUUUAAAAUACAUUGAUUGUUGCUUAUUAUUGUUACUUGUUAGAUUGUUAUUAUGUUGUAUUUGUGAAGACAUUAACUACAAAUCUACAAUGCAACUUUUGUUUUAGUGUCAUUGUGAAUUUCAAAUUGUGUGUUUUAGUGAUAUUGUGAAUUUAAAAUUGACAUAUUGAAGAUUUGAAUCAUUGAUAUAUUGAAAUUUGGUAGUAAAUUAGUAAUGCACUUCUUUGAUUUAUUAUCUAUUUUUACUUUUUAGCCCAUUAAGUUGAAAAAUCAAACAAAAAAUUGAAAAAAUUGUAAA